AACGAACGCUGGCGGCAGGCUUAACACAUGCAAGUCGAGCGCCCCGCAAGGGGAGCGGCAGACGGGUGAGUAACGCGUGGGAAUCUACCCAUCUCUACGGAAUAACGCAUGGAAACGUGUGCUAAUACCGUAUACGUCCUUCGGGAGAAAGAUUUAUCGGAGAUGGAUGAGCCCGCGUUGGAUUAGCUAGUUGGUGGGGUAAAGGCCUACCAAGGCGACGAUCCAUAGCGGGUCUGAGAGGAUGAUCAGCCAGACUGGGACUGAGACACGGCCCAGACUCCUACGGGAGGCAGCAGUGGGGAAUAUUGGACAAUGGGCGCAAGCCUGAUCCAGCCAUGCCGCGUGAGUGAUGAAGGCCCUAGGGUUGUAAAGCUCUUUCACCGGUGAAGAUAAUGACUGUAACCGGAGAAGAAGCCCCGGCUAACUUCGUGCCAGCCGCCGCCGUAAUAC
rnacentral:rRNA from 1 species